GAAUUAUCUGCCCCUUGUCUGGUGUCACUGGUGCAAACUGUGUGGACACAGCCCCCUCAAAGAGACAGUCAGCAAUUGUGUUGGGUGGUGAAUUAAGAUCAUAACUGUGACGAUGAACUGGUAAUCCAUCUCUAAUCAUAAAAAAUUACUACAGAGGAACAAUAAAACAACCAUAGGAACGAAAGUAACAUUUGUAGUAGUAAGAGAAGACCUUGUGUUAACUCACUCUGAUGCUCAGAUUGGGAGUUGCUGUUAUUCCAGAACUCGGCGUUGAGUGUCCGAUCGUGGUUCGCAUUAUAAUUGCUUGCACAGUGAAAGACAGGGAAGAAUGAUAUACAUUGGG